UGGGGAAUAUUGGACAAUGGGCGCAAGCCUGAUCCAGCCAUGCCGCGUGAGUGACGAAGGUCUUCGGAUUGUAAAGCUCUUUUUGGCGGGGACGAUAAUGACGGUACCCGCAGAAUAAGCCCCGGCUAACUUCGUGCCAGCAGCCGCGGUAAUACGAAGGGGGCUAGCGUUGUUCGGAAUUACUGGGCGUAAAGCGCACGUAGGCGGACUGAUAAGUCAGGGGUGAAAUCCCGGGGCUCAACCUCGGAACUGCCUUUGAUACUGUUAGUCUCGAGUCCGGAAGAGGUGAGUGGAAUUCCUAGUGUAGAGGUGAAAUUCGUAGAUAUUAGGAAGAACACCAGUGGCGAAGGCGGCUCACUGGUCCGGUACUGACGCUGAGGUGCGAAAGCGUGGGGAGCAAACAGGAUUAGAUACCCACGUAGUCCCUGAGCGGGCUGGCAAGGCGCAU
rnacentral:rRNA from 1 species